rnacentral:lncRNA from 1 species
UUUAUUAUUAUUUCAGUUCAUUUUAUUGGUCUUGUUGAGAAAAAUAAAUAGGUAAUCAAUUCUCUGUGGAUUCGAUCCUUUCACCACUAUCUGCAGUUGUAAAAUUGUUGAUAACCAGGAAGGUUAUUUUUGACCGGCUUCGACAACCGCGAGUCAAUAUGGCUAGAUCUAAGUUUAUAGGCUUUGAGUUGGGUUGUUGAUGAAUGUAUGCUUAUGUGAUGUUCUUGUUGUUGUUGUUGGGGCUUAGGUUAGUUUUAUGUCCCUUAUACUUGAUGGAGUGAGUUUUUGCAUGUUUUGAGAAGUUGGGGUAUGAGUUUGGUGAGUUUUGGUGGCUAAGUGUUGAGGCAGAAUCGGGUUCUGCCAUUCUGAAGAACCCAGGUUCGGCCGUCGAACUUGCCUGUAGAGACAGCCUUUGGCCGCCUAACUUGCCCCCGAAAGGAUGGACUUUUGGAUCUGUGAAGGGGUUAGGCCGCCGAACCUACCCCCGAAGGUUGGUGACUUUCGGAUCUGUAAGAGAGUUUCGGCCUCCGAACCUGCCCCUGAAAGUCCCUAACUUUCGGAUCUGUGGAGGAUCUUCGACCGCCGAACCUGCCCCCGAAGGACCCCGACUUUUGAAUCUGUAGAGGACCUUCGGCCACCGAAGGUGCCGCCGAAAGUCCUCUUGCCAGCCUUCUUUUGCUUGUUUUAUAUGCAUGUUUUGUGAUGUUUUAGGGGGUUUUUGGGGAGUUAUAUGGAGUCAUGUUUUAGCUAUGUUUGGUCCCUCAUGGGAAUCCAUUUGUGUAGAAUAGGACCUGGGAGACCGUAAAGGCCAGCAGUGAGUCUGCUGCUUCAGUUUUAGUCAGGCGUCAGCCAGAGGUGAGUAAAACUAAACUAAUCUAUUAUUUUAAAGUAAUCAACUUUUAAGCAUGUUCAUGCAUCACGAAUGCCAUGUUACGUAAUAGGUUGUUUGCAUUAGAAUUCAUGAAUGUGAUGCAUUGCAUAAUUUACUGUUGAUGUGGAUGGAUGUUGGAUGACCCACUAGCUCUCAAUAUGAUAUGAUAUGAUAUGAUACGGAAGUCCAGGUCGAGGCUCAUUCUACGCCCUUGGCACGAUGUAAGAGAAAGUCCAGGUCGAUGCCCAUUCUACGCCCCUGGCACAGUUGGACAUGUUAUGUUAUAUUUAAGAGGAAGUCCUGAGGAGCUCCGUCGAGGACCGGACAUUAUUUGGAUAUGUAAAGGGUUACUGUUAACAAGUCUAUCCUUGAUGUGUAUUGUUUGUGUUGUGAUGCAUUCCAUGAGAGCAUAUGUUUAUUAAAUUGUUUUUACGUUCUGCUCACUAGGCUCUUGUAGCUUAUCCCAUUUCCUUAACCCCAGGUUUAUAGGGUCAAGAAUAGCUCGGGAAGUCGGCUAGAUGGCUGGUAUAGUUUAAUGUAAUAAAAUAGAAGUGGACAUGUACUAUGUAAUGGAUUAGAUUUGUGAUUUGCCCUAGUUUAUGUUUUGUAAAUCCCUAUAAACAUGAUUUUUAUGUAAAAGUUUUAAUGAUAAGUUAUAUUGAACCAAGCUUGAUGUAUGUGGUGUUGACCAUGCUAGAGCAUUUGAUGAGGGCUCUAGUGUGGGUUUUAUGUAUACAGUUUAUGGUGCAUGCACAGGUUGAGCUUGGUAUAUGAAAAGUUUAAAUUUUUUAUGAAAAUGUAUGAUAAUGUAUGGGAUUUUAUCAGGUACACAGGAGGUAUGGU